CUUGGUCAUUUAGAGGAAGUAAAAGUCGUAACAAGGUUUCCGUAGGUGAACCUGCGGAAGGAUCAUUACCGAGUUCAUGCCCUUCGGGGUAGAUCUCCCACCCUUUGUAUACUAUACCUCUGUUGCUUUGGCGGGCCGCCUAGCUACUGGCUUCGGCUGGUAAGUGCCCGCCAGAGGACCCAAAACCCUGAAUAUUAGUGUCGUCUGAGUAAAAAGUUUAAUAUUUAAAACUUUCAACAACGGAUCUCUUGGCUCUGGCAUCAAUGAAGAACGCAGCGAAAUGCGAUAAGUAAUGUGAAUUGCAGAAUUCAGUGAAUCAUCGAAUCUUUGAACGCACAUUGCGCCCCUUGGUAUUCCGAGGGGCAUGCCUAUUCGAGCGUCAUUAUCACCCCUCAAGCCUAGCUUGGUGUUGAGGCCUGCUGUUAAGGCAGCCUCUAAAAUCAGUGGCAGUGCUGUCAGGCUCUAAGCGUAGUAAAUUCAUCGCUAUAGGGUCCUGGUGGAUACUCGCCAAAACCCUCCCAUUUUUUAAUGAUUGACCUCGGAUUAGGUAGGGAUACCCGCUGAACUUAAGCAUAUCAAUAAGCGGAGGA
rnacentral:rRNA from 1 species